rnacentral:tRNA from 1 species
GGUUUAGUGGUGUAGCGGCUAUCACGUUUCGUUUACAAGUGUCUUAGAUGCAGUAAGUUCCGAAAAGGCCCCGAGUUCGAUCCUCGGCUAGAUCA